CUCAGAGUGGAAAUCCCUUCUCUAGUUCAUCAAAAGGAGCCAUAUGAGCAGCAUCUGUAUAAGCGCCUUCUGUCACCCCAUCUCUUUGUACCUUUGUUUCUUCCCACCAUUGUUUAGCUCCUGACUGGGGAAAGGAAAGAACAUCGAAAAUGCUUUUCUUCUCCAUGGAGGAUGGAGAUAUUUCUCUUCAUCCAAAAUGAAAUGAGUGGAGCUUGGAAUGGCUACAUCACUCCCAGCCUGGCAAACCAUUCAAUAUCACAGUAAUCCAAGUCUAUGCCCCAAGCACUAAUGAUGAAGAAUGUGCCGUUGAACGGUUCUAUGAAGACCUACAAUCCUUCUGGCACUAACACCAAAAAAAGAUGUCCUUUUCAUCAUUGGAGAUUGAAAUGCAAAACUAGGAAGUCAAGAGAUACCUGGGAGAGUAACAGAUGAAAAAGUAGAUGAUGAAUAUGAAGAGUGAAGAAACACUUCAAACUCAGUUUGGGCUGCUUUGUAAUAGUAACUUCCUUCCAGAGAGCAAG
ensembl:lncRNA